rnacentral:rRNA from 1 species
ACAGAGUGACAGGUGGUGCAUGGUUGUCGUCAGCUCGUGUCGUGAGAUGUUGGGUUAAGUCCCGCAACGAGCGCAACCCUCGACCUUAGUUGCCAGCAUUCAGUUGGGCACUCUAAGGUGACUGCCGGCUAAAAGUCGGAGGAAGGUGGGGAUGACGUCAAAUCAUCAUGCCCCUUAUGACCUGGGCUACACACGUGCUACAAUGGGCGGUACAAAGGGUCGCGAACCCGCGAGGGGGGAGCCAAUCCCAAAAAGCCGCUCUCAGUUCGGAUUGCAGGCUGCAACUCGCCUGCAUGAAGCCGGAAUCGCUAGUAAUCGCGGAUCAGCAUGCCGCGGUGAAUACGUUCCCGGGCCUU